UACAGAGGGUGCGAGCGUUACUCGGAAUUACUGGGCGUAAAGCGUGCGUAGGUGGUUUGUUAAGUCUGCUGUGAAAGCCCCGGGCUCAACCUGGGAAUGGCAGUGGAUACUGGCAAGCUAGAGUGCGGUAGAGGGUAGUGGAAUUCCCGGUGUAGCGGUGAAAUGCGUAGAGAUCGGGAGGAACACCAGUGGCGAAGGCGGCUACCUGGACCAGCACUGACACUGAGGCACGAAAGCGUGGGGAGCAAACAGG
rnacentral:rRNA from 1 species